CCGGGUUGCUGUGGGGGGCGAUCCGCAGCCGCCGAGGCGCAGGCUGCGGGGGAGGGGCGGGGGCUCCGUCCCAGGCGCUCGGGUGGGAGCCUGGACGCGGGCGGGAGGAUGUCUGACUCAGAGCUGCAUCCUCUGAGGCAGACACACUUCACGUCGGUCCGCUCCUCCCGCCCUCCCCGACUUCCUCCUCACGUCCAGCAUUACUCUCAAUACACCUUUUUAAAUCUCAACCCGAGGAGUGAAUUUUCGCGACAAGAUAGCGUUUCCAGCUGACUCACCUGCGUCUGACUCACCCCAGGCAGUGGAGCGCUGCUCUUCGGAUACAGCCCCGAGUCCCCCGUGAGGUAAAGGCAGCAAGUUUGGGAAGCUGCAGACAGACACAAGGAUGCAAGUGCCAUUGCCCUAGAUAGAGCUGCCCUGCCCACAGAUAAAUGAGUGGUCCUGCUGCGUCUAGGCAGCGUUAGGCACGUUCAGCACGUCCUGCAGAGGUGGUCAGGGUCGCCCACUGUGGUCUAUGUGGAUCAAACGUACUGAUCACACAGAGAUGAACAUUACGGCAUAGGUCCUUCAAGCCUGAUGCAGCUGGGGGCUUUGGGCUUGCGGUGCAAGCGCAGGUAAGGCGUCCGGAGUGUGCCCGGUG
rnacentral:lncRNA from 1 species